rnacentral:rRNA from 1 species
CCUACGGGAGGCAGCAGUAGGGAAUAUUGGGCAAUGGAGGCAACUCUGACCCAGCCAUGCCGCGUGCAGGAAGAAGGCGUUAUGCGUUGUAAACUGCUUUUAUAUAGGAAGAAAUAGACCUUGCGAGGUAAGUUGACGGUACUAUAUGAAUAAGCACCGGCUAACUCCGUGCCAGCAGCCGCGGUAAUACGGAGGGUGCAAGCGUUGUCCGGAUUUAUUGGGUUUAAAGGGUGCGUAGGCGGUUUAUUAAGUCAGUGGUGAAAGACGGUCGCUCAACGAUUGCAGUGCCAUUGAUACUGGUAGACUUGAGUGGGAUUGAGGUAGCUGGAAUGGAUAGUGUAGCGGUGAAAUGCAUAGAUAUUAUCCAGAACACCAAUUGCGUAGGCAAGUUACUAAGUCUCAACUGACGCUGAGGCACGAAAGUGUGGGUAUCAAACAGGAUUAGAUACCCUGGUAGUCCACACUGUAAACGAUGAUAACUAACUGUUGGCUUUCGGGUCAGUGGUACAGAGAAAUCGUUAAGUUAUCCCACCGUGGGUAGGUACGGCCGGCCGACGGUAGUAACGUACAAGUAGUAAGUUAGUACGGCGUGAGACGUAGACCGACGGACGACGACGAGGGAGGAGG